GAAGGAAAGGGAUCACCCUCUUUCUGACCCUAUACCACCUUCAGCAGGGAUGAAGGCAGUCAGAGAAAACUUAGUUAAAAAAUUUCUAAAUUGCUUUGCUGAUUUGAUCUGGGGCCCUGGAGUGCCAACAUCCUGUGAUAGUAGCUGAUUGUUGAUGCCUGGGAGGAUACAGCAGUGACGAUCCAAAUUUACAAGGCUCAACAUGGUUUUCAAAACCUCCUUUUAAAAAAGAUGUUCCUGAGUUCUGGAAUCUGAACAAAACAUGUCUGGUUAUUACAUAAUUCUAAUGGUCCUUGUGGAUGCUACUAUUAGAGUUCAGUUAGUGUCUCAUCUAUCAGUGUAAUAUUUGUAUUGUAACACUAAUCAUGGCAAAGUAUGAUUUGAUAAAUGCUCAUUCUCAAAUCUUUUAUUUUAGUGUGUUCAUGUCAGAUUAACGACCAUGAUGACUUGAGAUAGAA